ACUCGGGGAUAGCCUUUCGAAAGAAAGAUUAAUAUCCGAUAGCAUAUAUUUCCCGCAUGGGUUUUAUAUUAAAGAAAUUCGGUAUGAGAUGGGGAUGCGUUCCAUUAGUUUGUUGGCGGGGUAACGGCCCACCAAGACUACGAUGGAUAGGGGUUCUGAGAGGAAGGUCCCCCACAUUGGAACUGAGACACGGUCCAAACUCCUACGGGAGGCAGCAGUGAGGAAUAUUGGUCAAUGGACGCGAGUCUGAACCAGCCAAGUAGCGUGAAGGAUGACUGCCCUAUGGGUUGUAAACUUCUUUUAUAUGGGAAUAAAGUGGUCCACGUGUGGAUUUUUGUAUGUACCAUAUGAAUAAGGAUCGGCUAACUCCGUGCCAGCAGCCGCGGUAAUACGGAGGAUCCGAGCGUUAUCCGGAUUUAUUGGGUUUAAAGGGAGCGUAGGCGGAUUGUUAAGUCAGUUGUGAAAGUUUGCGGCUCAACCGUAAAAUUGCAGUUGAUACUGGCAGUCUUGAGUGCAGUAGAGGUGGGCGGAAUUCGUGGUGUAGCGGUGAAAUGCUUAGAUAUCACGAAGAACUCCGAUUGCGAAGGCAGCUCACUGGAGUGUAACUGACGCUGAUGCUCGAAAGUGUGGGUAUCAAACAGGAUUAGAUACCCUGGUAGUCCACACAGUAAACGAUGAAUACUCGCUGUUUGCGACAUACAGUAAGCGGCCAAGCGAAAGCAUUAAGUAUUCCACCUGGGGAG
rnacentral:rRNA from 1 species